rnacentral:rRNA from 1 species
GGGGAAUAUUGCACAAUGGAGGAAACUCUGAUGCAGCGACGCCGCGUGAGGGAAGAAGGUAUUCGUAUUGUAAACCUCUGUCUUCGUGGACGAUAAUGACGGUACACGAGGAGGAAGCACCGGCUAACUACGUGCCAGCAGCCGCGGUAAAACGUAGGGUGCUAGCGUUGUCCGGAAUUACUGGGUGUAAAGGGAGCGCAGGCGGCUGUGCAAGUUGGGCGUUUAAUCUACGGGCUUAACCCGUAUCAGCGUUCAAAACUGUACAGCUUGAGUGAAGUAGAGGUAGGCGGAAUUUCCGGUGUAGCGGUGGAAUGCGUAGAUAUCGGAAGGAACACCAGUGGCGAAGGCGGCCUACUGGGCUUUAACUGACGCUGAGGCUCGAAAGCAUGGGUAGCAAAC